UUGCCAAUGAUGGUUAAGAAUUUCUUCACCUGAAUAAAUCAUGUGGCCAUACUGUAUCUGAGGCAAA